GUGGCGGCUAGCUCAACCAGUCGAGCGCCAUCAUUGCCCGAAAGGGCCGCAGAUCGAGGGUUAUCGCUGACAAUCGAUUCUCUCCCUUGAUCGCCGGAGAUGCGGGUGCAAAUCCCGCGCCGCUACACCA
rnacentral:tRNA from 1 species